CCUACGGGGGGCUGCAGUGGGGAAUAUUGGACAAUGGGGGGAACCCUGAUCCAGCCAUGCCGCGUGUGUGAAGAAGGCCCUCGGGUUGUAAAGCACUUUCAGUGAGGAAGAACGCCUGGUGGUUAAUACCCAUCAGGAAAGACAUCACUCACAGAAGAAGCACCGGCUAACUCCGUGCCAGCAGCCGCGGUAAUACGGAGGGUGCGAGCGUUAAUCGGAAUUACUGGGCGUAAAGCGCGCGUAGGUGGCUUGAUAAGCCGGUUGUGAAAGCCCCGGGCUCAACCUGGGAACGGCAUCCGGAACUGUCAAGCUAGAGUGCAGGAGAGGAAGGUAGAAUUCCCGGUGUAGCGGUGAAAUGCGUAGAGAUCGGGAGGAAUACCAGUGGCGAAGGCGGCCUUCUGGACUGACACUGACACUGAGGUGCAAAAGCGUGGGUAGCAAACAGGAUUAGAUACCCGAGUAGUC
rnacentral:rRNA from 1 species